CCUACGGGCGUCAGCAGUGGGGAAUAUUGCACAAUGGAGGAGACUCUGAUGCAGCGACGCCGCGUGAGGGAAGACGGUCUUCGGAUUGUAAACCUCUGUCUUUGGGGAAGAAAAUGACGGUACCCAAAGCGGAAGCUCCGGCUAACUACGUGCCAGCAGCCGCGGUAAUACGUAGGGAGCGGGCGUUGUCCGGAAUUACUGGGUGUAAUGGGGGCGUAGGCGGGCGAAACAGUUGAAUGUUAAAUCUACCGGCUAAACUGGUAGCUGCGUUCCAAAAUUCUUGUCUUGAGUGAAGUAGAGGCAGGCGGAAUUCCUAGUGUAGCGGUGAAAUGCGUAGAUAUUAGGAGGAACACCAGUGGCGAAGGCGGCCUGCUGGGCUUUAACUGACGCUGAGGCUCGAAAGCGUGGGGAGCAAACAGGAUUAGAUACCCGUGUAGUC
rnacentral:rRNA from 1 species